rnacentral:rRNA from 1 species
AUACGUAGGUGACAAGCGUUAUCCGGAUUUACUGGGCGUAAAGGGCGUGUAGGCGGUCUUGCAAGUCAGAAGUGAAAUUCCUGAGCUCAACUCGGGCGCUGCUUCUGAAACUGCAGGACUUGAGUGCUGGAGGGGAUAGCGGAAUUCCUAGUGGAGCGGUAAAAUGCGCAGAUAUUAGGAAGAACACCGGUGGCGAAGGCGGCUAUCUGGACCGUAACUGACACUGAGGCGCGAAAGCGUGGGGAGCAAACAGGGUUAGAUACCCUGGUGGUCCACGCUGUAAACGAUGAAUACUAGGUGUAGGGGGUAUCGACUCCCUCUGUGCCGCAGUUAACACAAUAAGUAUUCCGCCUGGGGAGUACGGCCGCAAGGUUGAAACUCAAAUGAAUUGACGGGG